CUUUGCAUGGCUCUGCCCACGUCCCCUGUUCCCGUCCCUUCUGGUUUUUUUCUACUUUUUUGAACUUUGGGGGCUGCUUCCGGCUGGCCACCCAGGCUUGCCUUUGGGAUUCAUGAGAAUCUGCGUCUGUGAAUUUGGGAUGUGUUUAACUUUAUAAGCCAUCCACUCGGUUGGUUCAUGCAUGCUGUUACCUUCCCUGCCCUCCUGGGCUGGGCGUUCUCUCCUGGCCAGGGAUGGGGGCAGCCAGACCUUCACCCCAUCAGUGACCGACAUACGAGUGGAAAGGAUGGGGCAGCUGUGGGCGGGAGACCCGAGGCCGUUCAGUCGCGUGAGACGAGGUGCACCAUCUCGAGCUAAGGGACCAGCGUAUAUAGCACAAGCCCAACCACACUUUACAGUAUGGAUGUAGAGGUGCACACACACACUCUGGAGAAGUCUUGACAUAAAUGCACCAAAAUGUCAACAGUAUCUA